rnacentral:rRNA from 1 species
CAAUAGCGUAUAUUAAAGCUGUUGCGGUUAAAAAGCUCGUAGUUGGAUUUCUGUCAAGGACAACUGGUCCGCCCUCCGGGUGAGCACAUAGUUUGGUCUUGACAUCUUGCUGGAAGCUGUUGCUGCACUUGGCUGUGUGGCGCAGUGUUCAGCACUUUCACUUUGAGGAAUUUGGAGUGUUUCAAGCAGGCACAUGCCUUUGGACACAGUAGCAUGGAAUAAUUAGAUUGGGCUUUUGCUCCAAUUUGUCGGUUUCUGGAGCUGAGGUGAGUAUUAAUGGGGAUUGUUGGGGGCAUCCGAAUUUAGCCGUCAGAGGUGAAAUUCUUGGAUCUGCUAAAGACGGACAACUGCGAAAGCGUUUGCCCAGGAUGUUUUCAUUGA